UGGUGGCAAGGUAUAAUUAACCAGCUCAGCUGUGGUGGUGGAAGGAUGUGGCAGUGACUGUUCACACCAAAAUAGACCAGGAGCAGAGAAAAGAGGCAAGAACACAGGUAGAAAGUGUUUCCCUGACUGCAAUGAGCCACAGUAACAAUUGGACCCAAAAGAAGAGCAGGUUGUAAGAAGACUCAAGUAAACUGGCUGGUCCCCAAUACAGUUGUCACUAGCA